CCAGUGUAGACAUCCUGGGAGGUCACUCUCUCCAAGCCCUGUCUAAGUGGUGUAGGGGAGCAUGGGUCUCUGCCACAGGAUGUAUAGUCUCUUUCCACAAUGUCGGAGGUGAAGCUGGGCUUGCAUCUUCCUAUAACAUCUCAGAUUCCUUUGUGACUGAGGAGACAAACCAUGUAGAAAACAUGU
ensembl:snoRNA SNORA73 Small nucleolar RNA SNORA73 family